rnacentral:rRNA from 1 species
UGGGGAAUAUUGGACAAUAGGCGAAAGCCUGAUCCAGCCAUGCCGCGUGUGUGAAGAAGGCCUUUUGGUUGUAAAGCACUUUAAGUGGGGAGGAAAAGCUUGUGGUUAAUACCCACAAGCCCUGACGUUACCCACAGAAUAAGCACCGGCUAACUCUGUGCCAGCAGCCGCGGUAAUACAGAGGGUGCAAGCGUUAAUCGGAAUUACUGGGCGUAAAGCGAGCGUAGGUGGUCAUUUAAGUCAGAUGUGAAAGCCCCGGGCUUAACCUGGGAACUGCAUCUGAUACUGGGUGACUAGAGUAGGUGAGAGGGAAGUAGAAUUCCAGGUGUAGCGGUGAAAUGCGUAGAGAUCUGGAGGAAUACCGAUGGCGAAGGCAGCUUCCUGGCAUCAUACUGACACUGAGGUUCGAAAGCGUGGGUAGCAAACAGGAUUAGAUACCCUGGUAGUCCACGCCGUAAACGAUGUCUACCAGUCGUUGGGUCUCUUGAAGACUUAGUGACGCAGUUAACGCAAUAAGUAGACCGCCUGGGGAGUACGGCCGCAAGGUUA